GACGAACGCUGGCGGCGUGCCUAAUACAUGCAAGUUGAGCGAUGAAGAUUGGUGCUUGCCCCAAUUUGAAGAGCAGCGAACGGGUGAGUAACGCGUGGGGAAUCUGCCUUUGAGCGGGGGACCACAUUUGGAAACGAAUGCUAAUACCGCAUAACAACUUUAAACAUAAGUUUUAAGUUUGAAAGAUGCAAUUGCAUCACUCAAAGAUGAUCCCGCGUUGUAUUAGCUAGUUGGUGAGGUAAAGGCUCACCAAGGCGAUGAUACAUAGCCGACCUGAGAGGGUGGUCGGCCACAUUGGGACUGAGACACGGCCCAAACUCCUACGGGAGGCAGCAGUAGGGAAUCUUCGGCAAUGGACGAGAGUCUGACCGAGCAACGCCGCGUGAGUGAAGAAGGUUUUCGGAUCGUAAAACUCUGUUGGUAGAGAAGAACGUUGGUGAGAGUGGAAAGCUCAUCAAGUGACGGUAACUACCCAGAAAGGGACGGCUAACUACGUG
rnacentral:rRNA from 1 species